AGAGUUUGAUCAUGGCUCAGAAUCAACGCUGGCGGCGCGCUUAACACAUGCAAGUCGGACGAGAAAGUGGAGCAAUCCAUGAGUACAGUGGCGUACGGGUGAGUAACACGUGGGUAAUCUGCCUUUUAGUGGGGAAUAACCCUGGGAAACCGGGGCUAAUACCGCAUAAUCUCGAGAGAGGAAAGUCGCAAGACGCUGAAAGAGGAGCCCGCGGCCGAUUAGCUAGUUGGUGGGGUAAAGGCCCACCAAGGCAGAGAUCGGUAGCCGGCCUGAGAGGGCACACGGCCACACUGGCACUGAAACACGGGCCAGACUCCUACGGGAGGCAGCAGUGGGGAAUCUUGCACAAUGGGGGAAACCCUGAUGCAGCGACGCCGCGUGAGCGAUGAAGCCCUUCGGGGUGUAAAGCUCUUUCGGCAGGGAAGAUGAUGACGGUACCUGCAGAAGCAGCUGCGGCUAACUACGUGCCAGCAGCCGCGGUAAUACGUAGGCAGCGAGCGUUGUUCGGAGUUACUGGGCGUAAAGGGUGUGUAGGCGGUUCUUUAAGUUUGGUGUGAAAUCUCCCGGCUUAACCGGGAGGGUGCGCCGAAUACUGAGGGACUCGAGUGCGGGAGAGGAAAGUGGAAUUCCUGGUGUAGCGGUGAAAUGCGUAGAUAUCAGGAGGAACACCGGUGGUGUAGACGGCUUUCUGGACCGUAACUGACGCUGAGACACGAAAGCGUGGGUAGCAAACAGGAUUAGAUACCCUGGUAGUCCACGCCCUAAACGAUGCAUAUUUGGUGUGGGUCAUUCAGUUGAUCCGUGCCGGAGCUAACGCGUUAAAUAUGCCGCCUGGGGAGUACAGUCGCAAGGCUGAAACUCAAAGGAAUUGACGGGGGCCCGCACAAGCGGUGGAGCAUGUGGUUCAAUUCGACGCAACGCGAAGAACCUUACCUGGCUCGAACGGGUAGUCAACGGCGGUGGAAACAUCGCUACCCCGCAAGGGGGUCUAUUCGAGGUGCUGCAUGGCUGUCGUCAGC
rnacentral:rRNA from 1 species